ACACGUCUACAUUAGACUACCCGCGUAGUCCCAGCCGUAAACUAUGCGCGUUAGGUGUAUCGGUGACCACGAGUUACCGAGGUGCCGAAGGGAAACCGUGAAACGUGCCGCCUGGGAAGUACGGUCGCAAGGCUGAAACUUAAAGGAAUUGGCGGGGAGCACCACAACGGGUGGAGCCUGCGGUUUAAUUGGACUCAACGCCGGGAAGCUCACCGGAUAAGACAGCGGAAUGAUUGCCGGGCUGAAGACUCUGCAUGACUAGCUG
rnacentral:rRNA from 1 species